AGAGUUUGAUCCUGGCUCAGGAUGAACGCUAGCGACAGGCCUAACACAUGCAAGUCGAGGGGCAGCGGGGAGGUAGCAAUACCUUUGCCGGCGACCGGCGCACGGGUGAGUAACACGUAUGCAAUCCACCUGUAACAGGGGGAUAACCCGGAGAAAUCCGGACUAAUACCCCAUAAUAUGGGCGCUCCGCAUGGAGAGUCCAUUAAAGAGAGCAAUCUUGGUUACAGACGAGCAUGCGCUCCAUUAGCCAGUUGGCGGGGUAACGGCCCACCAAGGCGACGAUGGAUAGGGGUUCUGAGAGGAAGGUCCCCCACAUUGGAACUGAGACACGGUCCAAACUCCUACGGGAGGCAGCAGUGAGGAAUAUUGGUCAAUGGACGUAAGUCUGAACCAGCCAAGUCGCGUGAGGGAAGACUGCCCUAUGGGUUGUAAACCUCUUUUAUAAGGGAAGAAUAAGUUCUACGUGUAGAAUGAUGCCUGUACCUUAUGAAUAAGCAUCGGCUAACUCCGUGCCAGCAGCCGCGGUAAUACGGAGGAUGCGAGCGUUAUCCGGAUUUAUUGGGUUUAAAGGGUGCGUAGGCGGUUUAUUAAGUUAGUGGUUAAAUAUUUGAGCUAAACUCAAUUGUGCCAUUAAUACUGGUAAACUGGAGUACAGACGAGGUAGGCGGAAUAAGUUAAGUAGCGGUGAAAUGCAUAGAUAUAACUUAGAACUCCGAUAGCGAAGGCAGCUUACCAGACUGUAACUGACGCUGAUGCACGAGAGCGUGGGUAGCGAACAGGAUUAGAUACCCUGGUAGUCCACGCCGUAAACGAUGCUCACUGGUUCUGUGCGAUAUAUUGUACGGGAUUAAGCGAAAGUAUUAAGUGAGCCACCUGGGGAGUACGUCGGCAACGAUGAAACUCAAAGGAAUUGACGGGGGCCCGCACAAGCGGAGGAACAUGUG
rnacentral:rRNA from 1 species